rnacentral:tRNA from 1 species
GGGGCCUUAGCUCAGCUGGGAGAGCGCCUGCUUUGCACGCAGGAGGUCAGCGGUUCGAUACCGCUAGGCUCCA